CAAUGGCAGAACCAACUCCUUUGUAGCAAAUCAUUUAUCCGAGUCUCUACAAUGCUUGGCUAGCACAUUAAGACGUUGGAGAAGUGGCCAACCUUCAGAAUCCUGGGAGGCUCAUAAGGCAGCAAUCCAAGCACUCAUAAAGCUGCCUUCAGGCGAGCUUGUUACAGGUUCAACUGAUACAACUUUAAAACUUUGGAGAGGAAGCAAAUGUACACAUACUUUUGUUGGGCAUACAGAUCAAAUAUAGGCUGAUGCACUUGUUCUGAGGGGGAUCAGUUGCACAUUUGAGGAAGGGCACAAAAUACGUAUUGUUGGCAGAAUUGGCAGUGGCAAGACCACUCUCAUAGAGAUGAACCUGUUUUGUCCAAUGGAGCUAGCUAGAGGGAAGAUAUAGUAAUGUAUUUAUUGAAACCUGUAGUAUUCCAUGUAAUGCGAGUCUUUUUACGUAACUUUUAAAUUUUAA